rnacentral:rRNA from 1 species
AGUGAACGCUGGCGGUAGGCCUAACACAUGCAAGUCGAACGGCAGCACAGUAAGAGCUUGCUCUUACGGGUGGCGAGUGGCGGACGGGUGAGGAAUACAUCGGAAUCUACUUUUUCGUGGGGGAGAACGUAGGGAAACUUACGCUAAUACCGCAUACGACCUAUGGGUGAAAGCAGGGGAUCUUUGGACCUUGCGCGAUUGAAUGAGCCGAUGUCGGAUUAGCUAGUUGGCGGGGUAAAGGCCCACCAAGGCGACGAUCCGUAGCUGGUCUGAGAGGAUGAUCAGCCACACUGGAACUGAGACACGGUCCAGACUCCUACGGGAGGCAGCAGUGGGGAAUAUUGGACAAAGGGCGCAAGCCUGAUCCAGCCAUACCGCGUGGGUGAAGAAGGCCUUCGGGUUGUAAAGCCCUUUUGUUGGGAAAGAAAAGCAGCAGGUUAAUACCCCGCUGUUCUGACGGUACCCAAAGAAUAAGCACCGGCUAACUUCGUG